GGUUGAUGUGGGGUGGCAGGGGGAGGUGAGCACACUUAUGAACAUACAAAUACUGUUGGGUUCACACAAAAUGUCCAACAGUUGACGCGGACGUUAUUAACGAUACCGGUGUCAUGACAACCAGUGUGUCGUCCACAUCCCUCUAAUCUCUAAAGUCUCUAUAUGGUGGAAAAUGAAGCUUCAACAACUCAUACUGUCUACAGUGAUGGACAGCUGAACCUGGUUAAGCAGGCUGGCGGGACGAUGGCCUCCUGGACCGGCUCUUUGACAGUGCAGUGGAUACAUACCGAUGCAGAGCCAAACACCUCAGUUCAAAACAAUCUUCCACAGCCACCUGAGACAGAGGGGUAGAGAGUGACUCUUCCCAUUCGGGUAAUUAAAAUGAUUAAUAAAUGAGUAAUUGAAAUGAUUGUGUGUGUUCAGAAUAUGAAGGGCUACGAAAAUGAUUUGAUUGUUUUGUUUGUAUUAGACAGCAAGGGACAGGAACCAUGGAUAGAGAAAGGAGUAUUACUCUCCACAAAAGUCCAUGGCUUGGAAUGAUGUUAGGAAUGCUGCAGGUUUUACAUCUACCUGAGGUGUGAACACAACAAUGGCAUAUUAUCACCUCAUACACUUGAUAUGACAGACUAACAUUUGCCUACUUACAGAAAUCAGCAGACAAAGAGCAACAUUCAUUUGGAGUUGUUUCUUGGCCACCAAAUAAAUAACCAACCGUAACUCUUCUUUUAGCUUUGUUUGAUCUCAGUUAACUCCAGAGGGACAUAUCUGGAUCUUUAGUGGCUAAAGGCUACGUUAUGUUCAACUAAACCUGGCCAACUUUAUCUGUCUGCUGAUUGGUGGGGGAGAAGUAUUAUACAGCUUUUUGCUAAAAUCAGUGCCUGCUGUAUCUGUGACACAACACUAACCAGAGUCUGAGAAUGAGCCAAAACAGAGUUGCAGGUCUGAAAGUCAAAACAAUGAGCUAAGGGGAAUCGCAGUCACGUGAUAAUUAUCUGUGGAUUCGUCACUGUCACCAACACCUUUCACAUUGCACAUAAUUAUUUGAUCCAAUGUUACUAUAAAAACAUUGAUCAUAGCAGCUUUAAAGAUUCUUUGCCCCUGUGUUAAGUAAGGCCUUAGUCUUCUUUACUGUUUCUUAAGUUUGCUUGAAGAAAGGAAAUAGAUAGAAGUUCACUUCCUAAGAGGUUAGAGUGUGAAAGAGAGGUCAUUUUUAGACUGAGCUAUGAUUUCCUUUAAGGUAGAAUACUAGUAAAUUUGAGCAGUGGCAGUGUUAUUCAUGAUAUUCAUUACCCUCUGAAAGACACCUGACUGAAAAUGAUAGUUUUCAAAGCGAUACUCAUGUGCGGCAGGUGCACAAGAUGAAGACCAUAUAAAGUUUGAGAAUGUUGUCAUGGCAGUAAGUGUCAGGGUGCAGGAGUCUCAGCCCUUCACUGACUGUACAUUCCACUGUGACAGCUGUACUUCACAUUGCUACUCUGGCAUUCACACACUGUACAGUUCUAGUUCUAAACAGUUCUAGUUUCCAAGAUAACAAGUGACUUAUCUAGUUUGUUUUUGCAAUUAGUGUCCUAGCUGUUCACACACAUACUGCUCAUGCUGUUCUAACCCAUAAAGAUUUUAAAUCACAAAUUUAAUAGCCAAUGCUGAUUUUAAUGUGACAAUGAUCCAUAUCUAAGGCUGAGUAUUCUUUAAAAUGUACACAGUUUUUCCUCAAAUAUAUGGUGAAUGUGUGA